GUAGACAUAGUUUAAAUAAAACGUUAGAUUGUGAAUCUAAUAAUAGAAACUAAACCUUUCUUGUCUACC
ensembl:Mt_tRNA